GUCAUCCUUGAUGCCUCGUUCCCGCACUCCCGUUUGCCUGACUUCUGCUCUCUGUGUACCGACCCACGCCUGUCCACUGACCACCCUCGGAUACACAAUCAUCAGUCAGUGGAUCCACCCAUCCGUCCCUCCAUCAUGCCCAUGGGCCCUCUCAGCCACUCCUAAUCCCAGAGCACCGCACCCUCCCAGGUAGUAGCAACUGGAAUGGAGCAGAGAUACAGUACUCAACAAAUCCAGGAGAGGAAGAAAGCAGGGAACUACUGUCACUAUAAACAAAUUCAAGAGUCAAGGAACACCUGGCCAAGACACGAGAGGCCGCAGGGAGCUGAUUGGUUGACAAAAGGUCAAGGGUUGACAAGAACAAGUGGACACAAUACUCAAACGAGCACACAAGACAUGAGCGCAAAAGAAAACAUCAAACAAAUCUAAAUCUAAUCUAAACUAAAACACAAUCCAUGACACUUAAAGUACAAUACAUUCACGUUUUAUCUUUCAGAACUGUUUCUUUUCAAACAUUUGUGUACGUUUUUUAUC